GGAGCAGGGUAGGUGUUGCUCGUGUAUCGUCAGAUACGAGGAAAGCAAAGUAACGAGGGUUGUGCGGGGAGAGAAGGAGAAAACACAUGCCAGGAAAAUCAAAUGAAUGUGUGUUGCUCCUAAAAAUCCCCAGAGCGAGGCUGAGGGGCUCCGAUGGCGGGCGGAGGUAAAAAAAAAAAAAAAAAACAUGUUCUUUUUCGUUGAGUGAUUAGAAGGAGAGUGGCAGAACAUGACCUACUUAGUAGAACUUCUUUUACUGUACAGGUUUCACAAAUGUUGCUCGCACAGGCAGACUUAGAGAAGUGGGGGGUACCUAAGCCACCCAAACUUGAUUUAUAGCAGCGCUAAAGGAGCAGCAGCAGUAGCUGUAAUAACUGCUAUGAGGUGCAAAUGUAGGAACACCUCAAAACAUGCACAUUAGCAUACCUUUAAAAUGAGCCUACAGAUUGCAGUAAGGGGUGUGAAUAUAGCUGGAGAACGAAAACGGAGAAAAAACACAACUGGUUUUCCUUUAUAUUUGAGCAAAAACAACAAAUCUUUUCUAUAUAUUUUUUUUUCUGUGCUUUUACAACCCCAUGCUAGAAUUUCGUCGAGACAAAGAAAAAGCAACAUGUUAACUGCUGUAGAAAUGGGCCUGCCUCCGGCUAUUCUUAAUUUCAGGCUAUGUUUGUGCAGAGUUGUGGAGCUCUUGUGGGCUCGCAGGAAGCCCGCGGGCCUUUUGUCUCAUCUGUAGAGGAAACCAGACAUCAAGUUCAAAUCAAAAGGGAGACACAAUCAAGCAGAAGCAGAGUGGACAGGACGGAGGCCCGGCUCGUUACGAACAGAAGCACAAUGGACAAGGCUUCCCCUCUCUUCACAGCUGAGUGGGCCGGUUAACAUAUGUUUGAAUGAGAAGUGUGAAACAGUCUGCCUCUGAAAUCAGUGUGAACUAUUUGUUCGUGGACAGCAAUUAAAGUCCAAAAAACUUUAUUGACGUGAAACAUGUUGUAUGGAACAGCAGAGACAAAACCAAAACCAAAACAGCAAAAAAAA